rnacentral:rRNA from 1 species
CCUACGGGUGGCAGCAGUGAGGAAUAUUGGUCAAUGGGCUAAGGCCUGAACCAGCCAAGUCGCGUGAGGGAAGACGGUCCUAUGGAUUGUAAACCUCUUUUGUCGGGGAGCAACGAGGCCACGUGUGGCCGAAGUGAGAGUACCCGAAGAAAAAGCAUCGGCAAACUCCGUGCCAGCAGCCGCGGUAAUACGGGGGAUGCGAGCGUUAUCCGGAUUUAUUGGGUUUAAAGGGUGCGUAGGCGGAACAUUAAGUCAGCGGGAAAAUCGAGGGGCUCAACCCCUUUAAGCCGUUGAAACUGGUGAACUUGAGUGGGCGAGAGGUAUGCGGAAUGCGUGGUGUAGCGGUGAAAUGCAUAGAUAUCACGAAGAACUCCGAUUGCGAAGGCAGCAUACCGGCGCCCGACUGACGCUGAGGCACGAAAGCGUGGGGAGCGAACAGGAUUAGAUACCCGUGUAGUC